CGCACGGUUUUUCUCGUGUUAAUAUUGAACCAAGAUAUUUAUUUUCGUAUUUUUUUUAAAUUGUGUUUCCUCAUGAUCCCUACCGCCCCCCUCCAGGUCUGUCCUUAUCACUAUUACAGUUGACCAUCGUCGCCCGUUAUUAUAACAAUGUAAAUAGUAGUAAUAAUAUGAAAUAUGACAAUUUCAAAUUUCUAACCCCAAUGUAAAUCGCUGUACAUUGAUUCUCUGUCAGUCGUUCAGGACAAAGCCGCUUAUAUAUUAUAUAGAGAGAUAUUAAGAUAUCGGUAGAUUAAAUUUUAAAGAAACAGUUUCGUUUAUGAACAGAAUUAAGAUUGUACGGAUGCGUGUUUUGGCAAAUUUCGAUGCAUUCAGAAUUUCGCACGAUAUGAUAUACCCGGUGAAAAAUGUGUUUUUAAACAUGUAAUCUAAUCGGCGGAAUUAAUAAACCAAAGGUAUCGAGUUAGAAUCCGGUCUUUUGUUUAAUUUGUUUGCGGGUUUUUUUUUUUCGUUCUUUUUCCUCGUUACCUACCCGGCGUGGUUUUGUUAACAGAGCGGGGUUAAUUUUAAUGCCACACUAUACCGGGUGUAUCAUAUCGAGUGAUAUGCACCGACAUUCGCAAAAUAUACACAGUACGGAUGCCCGAUGAACUGUUGGGAUCUGAAUUCCAGGGGAUUUGCAAUCUGGUGGCAAUUUAAUUUACUAAAACAAGCGGACUAGCUUCGGUGCAAUAUUCGGACCGUACAGAAUCAUUAUGUCGUGGUGUACCAAAAAGAACGCGGCAACGCACUCGGUUAUAGCAUCAUCUCGCUUAAAAAUUAAAAUAUCGAACCAUUUAACGUACAAACGCAAAUAAAUGUUCUUUACUUUAAAUUCGAUAAUAAUUCAUUUCACUAUAAUGUUAAAACUGACAGCGCAAAAUUGGUUCGGAUCAACGCAAAUUUGUUGUGUCGUACGCACGUAUGUACUACGGAAACGGCACGUCAUGCAGUCAAGCGACGUCUCCUCUUAAUCCUUUUAAUCUAUGCCGUAUAAAACACGGUUGGAAAUGCACAUUUACGAUGUACAAUACAGAGUGUCCCAUCCUGGUCGACGGAUUUUUCUAGACCUAUUAAUAUUCGAUUUUU